rnacentral:tRNA from 1 species
AAUCCGUCGACUUUAUAAAUCGUGAGGGUUCAAG